CUCCUCCGGGUUUUCCAGAAGGAGUUUGACCAGACCAGUCAUGACGUCCUACAGCGACAAAGGCGUCAAGCCCGAGCGAGGCCGGUUCCUGCACUUCCAC